GCUUCCGGUGUCAUGGCAGCCUGAGGUCCAGGGAGUCGGUCAGGGCGCUGCAGGCCCCUCCCUGCGGAGCGGCGGGUCCGGGCGGGGAUGUGACGGCGGGCGCCGCGGGCCUGCCUCGCGCGUCGUGUCGGCUCGCGUGUCCUCCGCCCAGCCCGCACCAUGGCGGGGUUCGGCUGCGCGUGUGGCGCCGAGCCGCCGCGCUUCCUGAAGGCCUUCGGGCGGCUGUGGCAGGUCCAGAGCCGCCUGGGCAGCUGCUCGUCGGCCUCGGUGUACCGGGUGCGGUGCUGCGGCACCCCGGGCUCGUCCCCCGGCGCCCUCAAACAGUUCCUACCUCCGGGAACCACCGGGGCUGCGCUGAGCAGUUGCAGGGUCACAGGAACAUCGGUAAUUGUGGCUGUCCCCAUGUCCCCCAUGUCCCGGUCCAAGCAUAAUCGUCUUCGGCCUGGACCCUGGCCUUUGGUCCUGUAGGUGGAAGGUGUUAGCAUUCCGCUCCACAGUUACCUGGCAAAAGCCAGGUAGGCCUGACCCACUAUAAAAGGGGCUGCUUGCCCCUUCCUCCAUUUCUUGCCCUCCUGUCCUCUUGGUACCUUGUUCCUCUCUUGCUCUUUCCCUGCUUCCGUUACCCCUUCUCUGCCCAUUCACUCCCCCCACACACACCCCCUCUCCACGUGCUCAUGGCCGGCCUCUACUAAUCUACUCUCUUUCUCUGCCUCUACUAUUGUCCUAACUCCCCUCCCCAUGCCCUGAAUAAAGUCUAUUCUGUACUGUGCUGUUGUGUGGUUGGUCUCUCAGGGGGAAGGGAUGCCUUGGCAUGGUCCACUGAGACAUCCUCUUUCCUUAUCGUACCUCAUCAUACCUCUAUAGAACAUAUUCCCCCUUCUCUUUAUCUUUUUAUAAACAAGUCAGGAGAGGAUCCGGCCUCACUUUCAAUCUGGCUUUACAUUGCAGCUCAGUGAAGUAUACGGUGGCAAUGAUAUCAUAUAGUAAAUGUUUAGUUAAAAAGCCUGAUUUGCUUCAAGAGGCAGGGGCACUUUUUUACAAACUCAAGGAGCCUGCUUUAUUCAUUUACCUGGUUAUCAAUCCCAGUGCUGAAGCUUCCAGGUGGCCGAACAUUCAACUCUGGCAACUACCUACCGAAGAAAUAGGUCAGGUUUUGCAGCGACCAUGGUUACAAAAUGGCAUUUAUAAAUGCUGCCCUCUGUCCGGGGUAGCUAGUAUUUAUGCCAAGGUUCUUCCACGGAUAGUUUGUGAAGAAAAAUAAAUAAAUAAAAAGAGGUGACACUUCUUAACUAGACAUUGCAGAUGAAGAGAGAAAAUAAUAGGGAAGAAAGUCUUAAUUACAGUGUAGUACCUGGAAUGGUUGUGCAGUUCUUUGGCUGUCCUAGAUAGAACUCAGAAAUCUGCCUGCCUCUGCCUCCCGCACGCCACCACGCCCAGCGGUUGUGCAGUUCUAUAAUGCCUACAUGAGGGAAUCUGGAAUUCUAGGCCAGCCUCAACUACUGAGUGAUUGAGGGUGUCUAAAUGCUUGAGAUCCUGACAGUCAAACGAUGCACAGAGGGAGGGGGUGGGAGGAGGAGUAAUAAUUUAUAAUUGAUCAGAAUCCAUAGAAAUGUGAUAUAAUUAAAACCUUUUCUAUUUGAGGAAAAAUAACCAGCUCUAAAGGAGAAUACAUUUAAUUUUUUCUCAGCCUU
rnacentral:lncRNA from 1 species